CCUACGGGCGGCUGCAGUGGGGAAUAUUGCACAAUGGGCGCAAGCCUGAUGCAGCCAUGCCGCGUGUGUGAAGAAGGCCUUCGGGUUGUAAAGCACUUUCAGCGGGGAGGAAGGCGUUAAGGUUAAUAACCUUGUCGAUUGACGUUACCCGCAGAAGAAGCACCGGCUAACUCCGUGCCAGCAGCCGCGGUAAUACGGAGGGUGCAAGCGUUAAUCGGAAUCACUGGGCGUAAAGCGCACGCAGGCGGUCUGUCAAGUCGGAUGUGAAAUCCCCGGGCUCAACCUGGGAACUGCAUUCGAAACUGGCAGGCUAGAGUCUUGUAGAGGGGGGUAGAAUUCCAGGUGUAGCGGUGAAAUGCGUAGAGAUCUGGAGGAAUACCGGUGGCGAAGGCGGCCCCCUGGACAAAGACUGACGCUCAGGUGCGAAAGCGUGGGGAGUAAACAGGAUUAGAUACCCCAGUAGUC
rnacentral:rRNA from 1 species